GUGGGGAAUAUUGGACAAUGGGGGGAACCCUGAUCCAGCCAUGCCGCGUGUGUGAAGAAGGCCUUUUGGUUGUAAAGCACUUUAAGCGAGGAGGAGGCUACCGAAAUUAAUACUCUUGGAUAGUGGACGUUACUCGCAGAAUAAGCACCGGCUAACUCUGUGCCAGCAGCCGCGGUAAUACAGAGGGUGCAAGCGUUAAUCGGAUUUACUGGGCGUAAAGCGCGCGUAGGUGGCCAAUUAAGUCAAAUGUGAAAUCCCCGAGCUUAACUUGGGAAUUGCAUUCGAUACUGGUUGGCUAGAGUAUGGGAGAGGAUGGUAGAAUUCCAGGUGUAGCGGUGAAAUGCGUAGAGAUCUGGAGGAAUACCGAUGGCGAAGGCAGCCAUCUGGCCUAAUACUGACACUGAGGUGCGAAAGCAUGGGGAGCAAACAGGAUUAGAUACCCGAGUAGUCC
rnacentral:rRNA from 1 species